CAACAACAGGCAGAAGGAACGCUUCAGAAUUCAUCAAGAAGACCAAACAUGGGCUACAGAGAUGGCUCAGAGGGGAAGGGCCUCCGCACAUACAUGCUGCCCAAAUGAAUAAGCAGUCAUACACAGAUACAUUAAAAGAAAAAACAUCUAAAGAAGAGAAAACAACAGAAUUGAUAUAAGAGGACUGAAGACAUAGCUCAGCUACUCAAGGUUCUUGAAGCUGAAGCAUGGAUCAAGCUGCUGAACUUUCUCUCAGAUUUACAUCUGUUUGUGGUCCAUGCUUUACCAGUGUUCUAUAGUUCUGAACAGAUAGCAUGACCUAGGCAGCCCUUGGGAAAAAAAAAAGGCAUGUAUUGAUUUAUUGGGGGCUUGUUCACAGUCUCGCAGGCAGAUCCUGGAGCUGAGAGCUACAUCCUGAACCGUAGGCAGCAGGCAGAAAGACCCUGAAAUUGGCAUAAGUUUCAGAAACCUCAAAGUUCACCACUGUGACACAAUUCCUCCAACAAGACCACACCUCUUAACAGUUCUACUCCCUAAUGUAUAAGCAAAUAUAAGAGCCUAUGGGGCCAUUUUUAUUCGAACCACCACACUACACACUACUCAUUAUAGCACCCAGGACUAUGUCACACUGGCACAAGGCUCAAAGGAACAGGAUAAAACAAAAAACAAAAAACAAAAAACAAAAAACCAUGAAUAGGUGAUUUG